rnacentral:rRNA from 1 species
AUCCAGCUUGCUGGAUGCUGACGAGCGGCGGACGGGUGAGUAAUGCAUAGGAAUCUGCCCGAUAGUGGGGGAUAACCUGGGGAAACCCAGGCUAAUACCGCAUACGUCCUACGGGAGAAAGGGGGCUCCGGCUCCCGCUAUGGGAUGAGCCUAUGUCGGAUUAGCUAGUUGGUGAGGUAACGGCUCACCAAGGCCACGAUCCGUAGCUGGUCUGAGAGGAUGAUCAGCCACAUCGGGACUGAGACACGGCCCGAACUCCUACGGGAGGCAGCAGUGGGGAAUAUUGGACAAUGGGGGAAACCCUGAUCCAGCCAUGCCGCGUGUGUGAAGAAGGCCCUCGGGUUGUAAAGCACUUUCAGCGAGGAAGAACGCCUAGCGGUUAAUACCCGCUAGGAAAGACAUCACUCGCAGAAGAAGCACCGGCUAACUCCGUGCCAGCAGCCGCGGUAAUACGGAGGGUGCAAGCGUUAAUCGGAAUUACUGGGCGUAAAGCGCGCGUAGGUGGCUUGAUAAGCCGGUUGUGAAAGCCCCGGGCUCAACCUGGGAACGGCAUCCGGAACUGUCAAGCUAGAGUGCAGGAGAGGAAGGUAGAAUUCCCGGUGUAGCGGUGAAAUGCGUAGAGAUCGGGAGGAAUACCAGUGGCGAAGGCGGCCUUCUGGACUGACACUGACACUGAGGUGCGAAAGCGUGGGUAGCAAACAGGAUUAGAUACCCUGGUAGUCCACGCCGUAAACGAUGUCGACCAGCCGUUGGGUGCCUAGCGCACUUUGUGGCGAAGUUAACGCGAUAAGUCGACCGCCUGGGGAGUACGGCCGCAAGGUUAAAACUCAAAUGAAUUGACGGGGGCCCGCACAAGCGGUGGAGCAUGUGGUUUAAUUCGAUGCAACGCGAAGAACCUUACCUACUCUUGACAUCCUGCGAAUUUGGUAGAGAUACCUUAGUGCCUUCGGGAACGCAGAGACAGGUGCUGCAUGGCUGUCGUCAGCUCGUGUUGUGAAAUGGUUGGGUUAAGUCCCGUAACGAGCGCAACCCUUGUCCUUAUUUGCCAGCGCGUAAUGGCGGGAACUCUAAG